UUACAUAAAUAAAGCGCCUUUAGACGCUAUGUGCAGUACAUAUGUACAUGUGUAGUGUUUCUCCCAUCACACAAUAAAGAGACGAGGUCAAAUGACUUUAACAAAUAGCAGCUUUUUUUAUCUCUCGAUCAAGAGAGAGGGGUUUUGUUCAGUAUACAUAGCCUGCAUAUGUAAUAGGAUAUGCCGCAAUACAAAUUUAGUAUGAUGUAUCGUCAUCACCACUUGUCUCAAUAUCCCAGCAACAGUAUCAACCAACUCACUAUGUCUCAACUUGUCUCAAUAUACCCAUUUGUAUGGUUGUGCUUUCUCCACGACUUUCUCCAGGCCAUUAAACUGUCUAUAAUACUACUACUGUGACCGGGGUGGACUCCCCCCCACCCACCUAGACCCACUUGGUGUAGUGAAAGUGUUUUUGUGGGGGUGGACCUGCUUCGAGGGGGGUUUUUUCUGGGAUUUUGGUGGCCCAUCCAUUCAACAAGUGGCAGUUCGCCCCCGACUUCCCUAACAACGGAGCCGGUUGCUAAGGCCACGAUUUUCCUUGUGGAUUCCCCCCCCCUUUUUUUCAACCCUUUUUUCAACCCGUGGAGGACGGAAAAUCCCGCGACAUCGGUCGCGAAGGGGUGUGGUCCCUGCGCCCACAGGGUCAGCACGGAAUUUGAGUGUCUGACUUUGUUCGGGUUGGCCAGUCCCACGCACUUUAAGUGCCUUAUCUUAAAAUUGAUCCUGUUCAUGUGCUAGUAGUCUUUUUUCCACCAUUGUUUGCGUUCAAAAACGUCAUUGAUGCGCCUAUCUUUAUAGCAUUGUAAAUAUUACUAAUAUAUGGAUGGGUAUGUAUUUAUGUGCAUUAAAAUGUGCUGCCGAGUGUGAGAGAGGUUGACCGGAUGUGGGCGCAUGGAUGAGUGCUCCUGAUUUGUAAUGCAUUGUGUGUACGUGGAUACGAUGAUAAUUUCACAAUUAUGACAAUGCGACCAACUUCUUUUGAGCAUCGAUUAAUUUAUUCAUAAAGGUGACGUCCACCACACCGUUCCUUGGGCGGCUUCAUAUUGCAAAUAUUGCGUCUAUGAAGUGCCAACUCAUUGCAAAUUUUACCUGGGAUUACAGGAAUUUCAUUAUAUAAUACUUGCAGUCCCGGAUCGUUGGUUUUCUUGAGGAGUUGCUUUGUUCGACACAAGCUCCUUGCAAGUUUUUCAUCCAAGCUCUCCUACGGAUUAAAAAAUUAUUAUGAGCAUGUUGCUUACAUCGGGUCGAGAGUGCAUCUCACCUUGGUAUGUGAGGAUCUGCCGUUCUGCAAACUACUUAAUAUUUUCGCAAUCGUAUCAUCAAGUGAGGGAAUGGUGGAAGUUGUAAUUUUUGUCAAUACAGGGGGAUACGUGUUGUUUAACGUCAUAUUGGCAUACGAGGGGAUAACAAUGGGAGUGAUUGCUGUUGUUGUGGAAGAGGGAGAUGAUGUUGUUGUUGUCAUCUCUGUCGUCGUUGAUGUAAUUAUUAAUAUAUUUUCUGAGAUAAUGGAUGACGAAUAGUCAGCCGCGGUCACUAUGGUCGACGGGUGUGGAGGGGUGGUGGUGGUUGGACGGAUUUCAUGCAUCUCCCUAGCAUUUCUCGCGAAUGGAAUUACUGUUAACGUUUCAUCCGUUGUUGGUGCAAGAAGAGGAGGAGGACGUGAUGCUACUUUGGUCGCGUCCACUGCUGGUGGCGGGGUUGCUGUCUCCUCCUCUUUUGUUAUUACAGUGUUCAUUUCCGGUUGAGGGAUUCCAAAAACGGAAUUCAACUUGUUUUGCUCAACAGGAUUCUGAUGUACAGAACUUUGAGGCAAGAGUAUUUUAUUUGCAGCCAAGUCUGAAAUUAGAUGGAAAUGUACUUUGCAAUGAGCAUUUGUACAUGCAUGAUCUCAAAUAUUUAAUAAUUAUAAUACCUUUCUUGUACUGGUUGCACCUUCUUUCAUUUCUAUACACAAUAUUCACAUGCUUUUCCACAGACUUUGCUUUUGCUAUACAAGUGGGCCCAACCGUAUCGAGUAUAGCAAAUACGCAGGAUGUAUCGGUUCGUUAAACACAGGCGAUGCAAUCAACGUUUGAUAAAUUGCAUGCACCUGUGAUUCCACAGUAUGUACAAAUUAAAAUUAUUAACCUGAACAUUUUAAUUGGGGUGAAUCCUUGUAUAAUUGUGAUAAGGAAAUAUGGUCUAGUGAACACAUACUCAUCUCUGUGAAGAAUUGGGCAGGGCAAUCUUUGGCUGACUAUACAAAUAACUCAAAUUACAUAUCAGUGAUACACAUAUACAUCAGAUUGCAUAUAAAGUGCAAAAAUAAGCGAAAAAUAAAACAUUACACAUUUUACACUCGAGCCACACACUAUAGUGGAGAAUACAGCCAUUAUUUUUAGUUCAGGCCUCGACACAGCAGAAUUGGCGAAGAUAAUUAAAGCGGUCACAUCGGCCCUUAGCCAAGAAAAUCGAAGCCGAAAUACGUUCUGGUUUUAUAAUUCACUGGAUAGUGAAAAGAGCUUAAACCUCUGCCGAAAAUACUCCAGAGGUUCAAGUGUAUAAAAAAAUAACCGAGCCAUGGAGGCAAGAAAAGGCCGCGAUCAUGGAGUCGUCCAUUAUCAGAACAAUAAAAAUCAAACAUCUCUAUCCCCUACUUUCCAAGGAUGAGGAUUACCCAGCAAACUGUGGCAGCCAGCUUAAAAAUGGCUGCACUCGCAUCAUAUUUAAUUUUGGCGAGGACGCAAGCUUGACCGCGGAGGAAUUUAUCCGGAAAUAUCAUCCCUCCAUCACCCCACAAGAACUCGAGCGGUUGGAGAAAGAGUGUUACAAUUUUGACGUAUCUCAAAUUACAGAGGAAUCAGAAUGGCCAGCAUAAAAAGUUUUGCAGAAAUGGUCUGGAAUUUUUAUACAGGGCUGGGAAUUUAUUGAUUUUUGAGAUUAAAGUUUAAAAUUAAGAUUAAGCCCUGGAGAUUUCAGCCCUUGAGAUUAACAUUAUAAGAUUAAAUUGACUACAGAGAUAAAUUAAAUCAUGAUAAUUUAAUAUCACCUGAUGGCAUAGAUUAAAAUUAAUUAAUCGAGA